GCGCUCGUAGCUCAAUUGGAUAGAGUGACGGCCUCCGAAGCCGUAGGUUGGGGGUUCGAACCCCUUCGGGCGCGCCA
rnacentral:tRNA from 1 species